UUUUUUUUUUUUUUUUAGGGCCGCACCCAUGGCAUAUGGAAAUUUCCAGGCUAGUGGUCAAGUCAGAGCUGCAGCUGCCAGCCACAGCCACAGCCACAGCAAUGUAGAAUCUGAGCCACAUCUGUGACGUACACCACAGCUAACGGCAAUGCUGGAUCCUUAACCCACUGAGUGAGGCCAGGGAUCAAACCCACAACCUCAUGGUUCCUAGUCAGAUUCAUUUCCGCUGUGCCACAAUGGGAACUCCAAAAGACAUUUUUUUUAAAAUAGAAUUGAUCUGGAUAAAAGAAAAUUAAUACUGAUAAUAGCUGCCCAGGGAGUCUUAAGUAAGAAGAAAAUACCUGGUCCUGUGCUGAGGGUCAGCACACCUGGUAUUGAUGGGAUCAGGAAAAGAAAAGCAGUUGCCACAAACCAGUCCUUUCACAGAAAUCUUUAUUAUUCUUUUGAAAUCUUAAAGUUGUCACAUAUUGGGAAAGAGAAAUUAUUGCCUUUCUUCAUGUCCUUCUGGCACAGUCGUUUCUGAAAUGUGCCGUCUGCCCCAUGCACAUUUGUGCCAGAAGGUCAUCAUAUCUGCACUCAGAGCAAAGACAACGUUGACAUUGUGUCUGUCAGGACUGAUCUUGUGUCUUCUGUCCUGGCACAAGGGCCAAGUGUGCCAGAGAUCCCGAGGCUGAAACGAGAUUGCAAAAAAAAACAGCAAAGAAAGGCAAACAGCACAAUACUUAUUUCCAUAGGUGACAUUAUGGCCAUGAAUAUAAAACUCGAAAUCCUUAUUAAGCAAUCCCCAGGGCAGGCCGGGGAGUAGCGUGCUGUAGGCAUAAUGGGGUCAUAGGCCCAAGGACAUUGUCAUGAUUUUUUGCAUUAUAAAAAAAUUGUCCAGAAACCCAUAUCCUUAGGCUUUUAGGCCAGGAAGGGAUUGCUGCUGGUGGUGAAAUUUAUCCUCCUGACAUCAGGUAGGACCUCAUCCCAGACAUUUAAGAAUCUGUCCUAUUUAUAAAGUCUCCAAAAGCGAUCUUUCAGUCUCUCAGUUUAGGGUUAUGAAUGCUUUAUGCCAGGAAAUUUAACUUUAGAGCAAAACUCAGAUUCUUCGUAGUUUAGUUCAAAGACCAUUUCCUUUAGCUAACAUCCUCUCUCUGAGUGCCCUUCAUGUAUUUGAAAACCAAUAUUAAAUUGGCUUUCAGCUUUCUCUUCUCCCCAGGUGGAAUAAUUUCACUCCCAGUCUCUUGAAUUCAGAAGAAAAGACCUUGCUAGGAAAAUGCAAAUCAAAUAAAUAGAAACCUUUUUUAAGGUUAAAAGAAGAAAAAAAGAAGAAGUUGUGGGGGAGGAAAAGAAAUGGUUUCUUUGCUGACAAUAUCAUAUCUGAAAUUCAGGCUACCUGAAAUGAAGUAAAAAGUUGUAUAUUAAAUUCUCAUCACUGCAGAAUUAAUCAGUUCCUGCCCAGUCCCCUUCCAGUGAGAGCCAAGUUUACUUUUCUUUGUAGGUCUUACGGAUUUCCUUUGUGAAUUUAAAAGCAAUUGUGCAAAUCCAAAAGAUUUAGGAACUAUUGAGAGAAACAAGGCUCUGGAGUAAGGAUCCCUUACUUUCGCCAAAACCUCAGCUCCCUCUGGAACAGAAGUUAUUAAUCUUUGGGAAAAGUCAGAGAUCCAUUUGAAAAAUCUGAUCAAAGCUAAGAACCUUUGUCCUAGAAAAAUAUGUAUGUGUACAGCUAAGAACUAUUCCACACAAUUUCACUGGGUCCCUGGACUUCAGAUUCUCAUCCCCAAACCUAAAAUAGGCUGCAUUUUAAUCAGAUGAAAACGAGCCAUUUUGCCUAAAACGCUUUAAUGUAUGACCAGAAAGGAAAACGUGAAUUUUUCUUUUAAUAAAAGGGUAAAAGUAAAACAGAUUCCUACGGAGGUAAAUUUCCCAGUGACAUAAUUGGGUAUUUAAUUUAAUUGAAAUUGAAAAUGCUUUUUCAUUUCUAAAGUAUUCCCACCAGAAAUAUCUAAUCGAAUUUAAUUUUGAGUAAGAGUCAGUGCUAACCUCCUUGUUACCAUGCAGGGAGCUGUGUUCGGAAACCCUGUGUGGGUGCCGGGAUAAUGGGUUCUUCUGUUGCUUCCUGCCCUCGGCUGGUUGUAUAGACCUGGGUACCCCUGACACCUUCCCGUGCCUUCUUACCUGUCAAACACUGCUUUCAGAAUUGGUUUCUUAGCUUCACUUUCUGUAUUUCAGUUUUCCAUCGCCCCAAUCUGCUUUUGCAGAAUCUGGUGAGAUGUUCCUUGUCACAUCCCUUUUAUAAUCUAGCAGGGCGCUUUGGCAAAAAGAGCGGAGGAAAGGCAUAAUGAGAUGCUGGCACAAAGGGCUGUGGCCGCCUUUCCUCGUCCAAGCAUGUGUGUAGGCACUUCUGCUAUGGCGCAGUGGGUUAAGAGUCCAACUGCAGUGGCUUGGGUUGCUGCAGAGGCUCAGGUUCCAUCCCCAGGCUGGUACAGUGGCUUAAAGGAUCCGUUGUUGCCACAGGUGCAGUGUAGGUCACAGCUGCCACUUAGAUUCCAUCCCUGGCCUGGGAACUUCCAUAUGCCACAGGUACAGCCAUUAAAAAAUAAGUUAAAAAAGUGGGGGGGAGGGGGUGAAGAAUGUGCGUCAGCUCAUCGCUCCUCCGCUGACCAGGCCCUAAACAUCGUGCAAUAAAAUGGAAAUUCCCAUGCCUCCCCAACCCCAGCCCUUGAGCAGAGAGCACACUGGAAGGAUAGAGGAUGCAUGAAGAUCCAGAUUCCCUAAACAGUUUUCUCCAUUUUAUUCUUACCAAGUAGCAAAAUACCAAAAUAAGUGAUUUGCUUUACAGAUCAUAUAUCCAUGAUCAGUGUUGGCACCCAUAGAUUUGAAACCAGAAGACUCUCCUGCCGAAUUUCAGAAGCAAGUAUGUCUUAUCCAAGUAAAAUCUUUCAAUCCGGAUAGUUGGAUAAUUUAGAUAGCGCGUUGAGUUUUUUUCUGCCCUGGGUGAUACUUAAGAAUACCCAGUUCUACCCCAGUUCAUUGGAGUUAAGCUGAGAAAUCAGUGAUUCAGUGGGGUCUGGGUGGAUUCCAGCCUCAAACUUCACAGGUAGUGCUUCCCAGCCUUACUGCUGCCAAGAGAAAUGCCCCCAAACGGCUUGAUGAAACUGAAAAUGAAGUUAAGCUCUAAAUAAGAGAAGGUAAGUGGGACUUCAUGUCAAGGAUGCCUCCAGGUCAGCAGGCUUUUUGGUUGGCCUACAUACUGCUGGUUAUUUUAAGUCCCAAACCAAAUGAAAAAAAUAUAUAGAUUUUAAUUAUAGUUGAUUUACAGUUUUGUGCCAAUUUCAGCUCUAUAGAAAAGUGACCCAGUAGUAUAUAUUCAUUCCCUUUCUUACAGUACCUUCCAUCAUGGUCUAUCCCAAGAGAUUGGGUAGUUUCCUGUGCUAUCCAGUAGGACCUCGUUGCUUAUCCAUUCUAAAUGUAAUAGUUUAUAUUGACUAACCCCAAACUCCCAAACCAUCCCUCUCCCUCCCUCUUCCCCCUUAGCAACCACAAGUGUGUUCUUUAUGAGUUUGUUUCUGUUUUGUAGAUAGGUUCAUGUGUGCCAUAUUUCAGAUUCCACACGUAAGUGAUAUCAUACAGUAUUUAUCUUCCUCUGCCUGACUUCCUUCACUUAGUAUGAGAGUUUCUAGUUGCAUCCAUGUUGCCGUAAAUGGCAUUAUUUUGAUCUUGUUAAUGGCUGAAUAGUAUUCCAUUGUAUAUAUGUACUGUGUCUUAAUCUAUUCGUCUGUUGAUGGACAUUUAGGUUGUUUCCAUGUCUUGGCUAUUGUGAAUAGUGCUGCUAUAAACAUAGGGGUGCGUGUAUCUCUUUGAACUAUAAUUUUGUCUGGAUAGGUGCCCAGGAGUGAGAUCCAAGUGGAUAAUCUUAAUAUCCCCUUAGUGGUUGAAGCUGUCUGUUUCAGGAAGCACAUGAUUAAUGAUCACUACCUUGAAUCCCAAGGGUCUGACAGGACCCCUCCAUGUCACCACAGGGCUGCAUUGUGGCACAUUUCCCACACCAUUGCUGGCUCUGGUUACAGUGUCUUACAGAUGGCGUGUCACAACUUAGACAAUGGUGUGUCUGUGGUCCCCGUUGGUAUCAAGGGGUGGAUGGGGAGAAGGGAUGCAGACAGGUCCCAGUCAUUAGCCUUGUAGCUCUGCAGUGUGAUGAAACGUCAGCUUUUGCAUGAUUUUACACUCAUCAAGAGACCCUUCACUGUUGAGGGGACCACAGUGACGAAUCAUUUCUCUUUUGCAUUGGUCAGAGGGACCAAUGGUGUCCAACCUAGUGGAAGCAGGUUUUAGAUGGAUGCCCAGGUGCCCUGGCAAUGAGGGCGAGCAGCCUGUCUUUGGAUCCCAGCUGUGAUGAUUCCUGCUUUUAGCCCUGUGCCUUUCAUCAUUACAGUUAGCUGCUUGUCUGCCAGUGUUUGGAUACAGAAUCUGUGGUUGUCAUGAGGUCAGUGUGAAGAUCUCCCAACACUGCCCUCACUUUUAUGCUUGAGUACGAGCACUGAUGGGUGACCAGGUGUUCCAUUAGAUUGAUUUCCAUGCAUUGUAAGGAGUCGCCAGGCACCCGUGAAUCCUCUUCCUGCUCAGAUUCUGAAGCCUGGGUUACAGAAAAAUCAGGAAAAAUCAGAUCAUUUUAAUCAAAUAGGAAUUUUAAAAAUUCACAGCAUUUAAAAAAUUUCCAUUGCAUUUCACCUAAGGGGAAAACAAAACAUAGCAACCUUUGGUAGGAAAUAGGUAUUUAGAUAACAGGUAUGCAUUUUACAUGACAAUGCACUUGACUUUCAUUUACCUCUCUCGCAUUAACAUAAUUUGUACAUAUUCAACAUUGAAACUCCCUUAUGCCCCAGCUCAGAAAAUCACAGGUGAAAUUGUUCUUCAGGAGUUAGGUUUAAAUGCAAAUUGGAAAGGCGGCCUCAGAAAUUCAUGAGCAUUUCUGCUCCUUGGGGCAUCUCGGGUGCCCUGGCUCCCGGCUCAGGAGAGGGCUCUUUUUUCUGAAAUGGCUCAUUAAUG
rnacentral:lncRNA from 1 species